rnacentral:rRNA from 1 species
AGAGUUUGAUCCUGGCUCAGGAUGAACGCUAGCUACAGGCUUAACACAUGCAAGUCGAGGGGCAGCAUGAAAGGAACUUCGGUUCUUUUUGAUGGCGACCGGCGCACGGGUGCGUAACGCGUAUCGAACCUGCCUCAUACUCGGGGAUAGCCUUGCGAAAGUAAGAUUAAUACCCGGCGGUCUCGGACGGCCGCAUGACAGUCCGAGUGAAGAUUUAUCGGUAUGAGAUGGCGAUGCGUCCCAUUAGCUAGUUGGUGAGGUAACGGCUCACCAAGGCAUCGAUGGGUAGGGGUUCUGAGAGGAAGGUCCCCCACAUUGGAACUGAGACACGGUCCAAACUCCUACGGGAGGCAGCAGUGAGGAAUAUUGGUCAAUGGACGAAAGUCUGAACCAGCCAAGUAGCGUGCAGGAUGACGGCCCUCUGGGUUGUAAACUGCUUUUAGUUGGGAAUAAAAAGAGGGACGUGUCCCUUAUUGUAUGUACCAUCAGAAAAAGGACCGGCUAAUUCCGUGCCAGCAGCCGCGGUAAUACGGAAGGUCCAGGCGUUAUCCGGAUUUAUUGGGUUUAAAGGGAGCGCAGGCGGCGGCGUAAGUCAGUUGUGAAAUCGUGCGGCUUAACCGUGCAAUUGCAGUUGAUACUGCGUCGCUUGAGUGCACACAGGGAUGUUGGAAUUCAUGGUGUAGCGGUGAAAUGCUUAGAUAUCAUGAAGAACUCCGAUCGCGAAGGCAUAUGUCCGGAGUGCAACUGACGCUGAGGCUCGAAAGUGUGGGUAUCAAACAGGAUUAGAUACCCUGGUAGUCCACACAGUAAACGAUGAAUACUCGCGGUUGGCUCGUUAGAGUCAGCCGCCAAGCGAAAGCGUUAAGUAUUCCACCUGGGGAGUACGCCGGCAACGGUGAAACUCAAAGGAAUUGACGGGGGCCCGCACAAGCGGAGGAACAUGUGGUUUAAUUCGAUGAUACGCGAGGAACCUUACCCGGGCUUGAACUGCCAGUGACUCAUGCAGAGACGCAUGUUUCUUCGGACACUGG